AUGAAAUCCAAAAGCAAGUUAAGGACCCUAGAUGACUAUGAUUGGGUGAUAUCUGCAGAGAUACCCGACAAGAAGAAAUAUCCCUUUCUCCAUGAUCUUGUAGUCAAACACAUGUUGCACGGACCAUGUGGUGCGUUGAAUAAGAGUUGCCCUUGCAUGAUAGAUGGACAAUGUCGGUUUCAUUGCCCACGAGAUUUCUAUGAUGCCAAAUUACAAGGGAAAGAUUCAUAUCCGAUCUACAAAAGGAGGGACGAUGGGGUUCGAGUUAGGAUCAGAGGAGUAGAUUUGGACAACAGAUGGGUGGUCCCUUACAACCCCUUUCCGCUAAUGACAUACAACUGUCACAUUAAUGUUGAAGCAUGCUCGAGCAUCAAGGCAGUCAAGUACUUAUUCAAGUACAUCUACAAAGGGCAUGAUAGGGCAUCAUUUGCAUUCGAGCAAGAUAUUAUCAAUGAUGGGGGAAUCAUCAACGAAAUCCGACAGUAUAGCAUG
rnacentral:rRNA from 1 species